rnacentral:rRNA from 1 species
CCUACGGGAGGCAGCAGUGAGGAAUAUUGGUCAAUGGACGCAAGUCUGAACCAGCCAUGCCGCGUGCAGGAAGACGGCUCUAUGAGUUGUAAACUGCUUUUGUACGAGGGUAAACGCAGAUACGCGUAUCUGUCUGAAAGUAUCGUACGAAUAAGGAUCGGCUAACUCCGUGCCAGCAGCCGCGGUAAUACGGAGGAUUCAAGCUUUAUCCGGAUUUAUUGGGUUUAAAGGGUGCGUAGGCGGUCGGAUAAGUUAGAGGUGAAAUCCCGAGGCUAAACUUCGGAAUUGCCGCUGAUACUGUUCGGCUAGAGAGUAGUUGCGGUAGGCGGAAUGUAUGGUGUAGCAGUGAAAUGCUUAGAUAUCAUACAGAACACCGAUUGCGAAGGCAGCUUACCAAGCUACUUCUGACGUUGAGGCACGAAAGCGUGGGGAGCAAACAGGAUUAGAUACCCCAGUAGUC